AGAGUGUUCAAAGCAGGCAGAUCCAAUUUUCUGCCACCGAAUACAUUAGCAUGGGAUAAUGGAAUAGGACCCUGUCCUCCUAUUUUCAGUUGGUUUUGGCAGCGCGAGGACUAGGGUAAUGAUUAAUAGGGAUAGUUGGGGGCAUUAAUAUUUAAUUGUCAGAGGUGAAAUUCUUGGAUUUAUGAAAGAUUAACUUCUGCGAAAGCAUCUGCCAAGGAUGUUUUCAUUAAUCAAGAACGAAAGUUAGGGGAUCGAAGACGAUCAGAUACCGUCGUAGUCUUAACCAUAAACGAUGCCGACCAGCGAUUAGGAGACGUUGAAUACAAAACACCACCAUCGGCGCGGUCGUCCUUGGCGUCGGUCUUUCGGGGCCGGCGCGGGGGCGGCUUAACCCGGUGGCACCGGUGAAUGACUCCCCUAGCAGCUUGUGAGA
rnacentral:rRNA from 1 species